CGAAGCUGGAAUCGCUAGUAAUCGCGGAUCAGCACGCCGCGGUGAAUACGUUCCCGGGCCUUGUACACACCGCCCGUCACACCAUGAGAGUCUGUAACACCCAAAGCCGGUGGGAUAACCUUUAUAGGAGUCAGCCGUCUAAGGCAGGACAGAUGAUUAGGGUGAAGUCGUAACAAGGUAUC
rnacentral:rRNA from 1 species